GACGAACGCUGGCGGCGUGCUUAACACAUGCAAGUCGAACAGUGGCGAACGGGUGAGUAACACGUGAGUAACCUGCCCUCCACUCUGGGAUAACUCCGAGAAAUCGGGGCUAAUACUGGAUAGUGGGGGAUGGGCUCGCGGCCUAUCAGUUUGUUGGUGAGGUAGUGGUCACCAAGGCGUGACGGGUAGCCGGCCUGCGAGGGCGACCAGCCACACUAGGACUGAGACACGGCGCAGACUCCUACGGGGGGCAACGGUGGGGAGUAUUGCACAAUGAGCGAAAGCCUGAUGCAGCGGCGCCGGGUGGGGGAUGACGGCCUUCGGGUUGUAAACGUCUUUCAGCAAGGAAGCGGUACUUGCAGAAGAAGCGCCGGCUAACUACGUGCCAGCAGCCGCGGUAAUUC
rnacentral:rRNA from 1 species